AAUAUAUUGUUGUAAUUCUGCUCCCUCGCCACACUGAUGGUGCGCAUGAGAGCACCAUUGAACACAGGAGAAGACAUGUUGAUAUAAGACAGGAAGAAGGACUGUUGUGGAUAGGCUAAAGUGAAGGAAGUAUAAGCUGUCUUGACUCGAGAGAACGCCCUUGGUGCUUUCUGUGAACUGUGUUAAGGACCUGGGGCGGAACUGGGAAGUGUGUCGGUGGUCUGUAUUGGUAUUUAGGUAGAAAAAGACUGGUAUCCCAUUAGAUAGGAUAUUCUGGGACUUAAUAGCUGAAGCCCAUGCCUAUUUUUAACUGUAAAUAAAUACCUAGUUUAGUGUUACCUCCUGCCUUUCAUUGAGUGCCUGCCUUAGAGUCACAACAUAUAUAUAUA